CAGGCAAGGCGGGCUGGGGGCCUCCCAUUACAGGCACAGACAGAUCACCCGGCCUCCCUGAGCUGGUUUCUGGUCCUCGAAUGGUCUCUGCCCCCUCCCUGCUCCUGGGUAGAGCUUCAAACCUCCUGGGAGGAAGGACUUGCCCACUUAUCACCAGAAAGCCUGCUGUUGAUAGAACUUCCAGCACACCGCUGUUCCACCCCUCCCUUUGUCCCUGCCCACCAGGCCAGGAGGCCCUGGACCUCCCGCCAGCAAGCCCUGGGAGUC